rnacentral:rRNA from 1 species
UUAAAAAGCUCGUAGUUGAACCUUGGGCCUGGCUGGCCGGUCCGCCUCACCGCGUGCACNGGUUCGGCCGGGCCUUUCCCUCUGGGGAACCUCAUGCCCUUCACUGGGUGUGAUGGGGAACCAGGACUUUUACUGUGAAAAAAUUAGAGUGUUCAAAGCAGGCCUAUGCUCCAAUACAUUAGCAUGGAAUAAUAGA